rnacentral:lncRNA from 1 species
GAUAUCCACAUCCAUGAGCAAGGGAUGAAAAUUGGACAAUUUUUUGUGUCCAAGGGACAAAAAGGCUUUGGAAAAAUGGGCAGGAGAAGGUUGGGAUAUACAGCAUAAUGACAUCAACAGAACAUAAGACUUGCUCUGUUGGUGGAUUGGUGAGUUAGUUUCAAGCCAAUCUAGAGAAGAACAUUGAAGAGCUGCAAAAACAAUAAUUUAGCCCCUAGAAACCAAAACAACAGUUCUAUAUUGGACCUAGUGACCAUGUACUUAAAGGGUAUUUUGAUGCAAGUUUUCGCAUGAGACCUGACUGAAAAAUCUAAGAGCAGCCAUGUUUUCUUGUUUGGCAGCAGAAUAUUUCUUGAUAAAAUAGAAGAUUGUUGUGUGGUUACAGAUAUAUCAAAAGUAAGUAUAUGGCUUAUAAUAUGACAACAAUUAAAUGAAUAUGUUGUUUCUUAAGCAAAAUUGAAACUUGACAUCCCAAACAGAAAACAACAGUUCUAUUUUGGACCUAGUGACCAUGUACUUCAAGGGUAUUUUGAUGCAAGUUUUAUCAUGAGACCCAACUGAAAAAUCUAUGAGCACCCACAUUUUCUUGUUUGGCAGCAGAAUAUUUCUUGAUCAAACAGAUUAUAGAUGUGUGGUUACAGCCUUACAGGCAUAUCAAAAGUAAAUAUAUGGCUUAUAAUAUGACAACAAUGUAUACUAAAUGAAUAUGUUGUUUCUUAAGCAAAAAAUUGAAACUUGACAUCCCAAACAGAUCAAUCAAUGUGUAUUUUUUUUUUCUUCCUUUUUUUUUUUUUUUUGCCAAAACGUCCACCGUGUUUCCAUACAAUGGUGAAGUAAAAGAACACAUUGAUAUAAAUUUUAAUAAAAACUACCAUCUAGCAAAGCGAGGAGAGUCAUAUUCUCAAAAAGAUGGUGACAUAUUCUAAAGAUAUAAGCAUCAACUCUGGGGGGAUUCAUAGUGCUUUAAGUGUUAAACAUAAGCGAAUUACAAGUCUAUUGGGAAGAUCUCGAGGAUGUUUGAGAAUAAAUGGAAACAUCAUUUAACAAAACCUCAGAUUAAAGCUCAUUAAGAACUGAUGUUUUUAAUUCGGUUAACAGCAAUAUCACAAUUCCAAGAUACCAGAGACCGGAAGCGAAGGAUUUGUACAAUGUUCAAUAGUAGCAGUAAUCGCGCUUUAAUGGUCAUCUAGAAGAUGAGGCAGCCUUCAAAUAAGUUGAUCAGUUAAAGUUCCGUGAAGCGUAAGGGCAGACAACAUUUUUUUAGCAAAAUCACAAUGGAUUUUCAGGCAGAAAUAAUCGAGUAUAUACUAUUCCAAAUGGUGGUACUUGCAUUGUCCCACUAAAGCAUCAUUGUCCACCAAAUCAUAGAAAUACAGGAGAAGAACACAGAUGGAUAUUAAGAGUGUAGGAAAGGAAAAGAAGCAUAAAUACCAGUGAACUUGACAUCGCAAGAGUAACCUUGCAACUGAGUUUUGUCCACAUUGUCUUUGUCUGAUUUAAACCUGUUUACUCUUGUUUGAAGGAUCUGACAAUUCUCCGGUACGGACUCACCACCUGCAACCUCAACCCAAAAAACCCAAUUCACAAAACUUGAUAAGCAUUCAGAUCAGUUAAGUAAGAAAGAAGAAGAAGAAGAAGGAGAAAGGGAGAGGAACCUUUGGAGAAAGGAAUGAUGUGAUCGUACUCAAAGCAGAGACAGCCUUGGCAGUUGCAGAAGCGCUUGCAGACGAUGUUGCCGGCGGCAUCUUUGCGCCAUCGAUCAGGGUGACGACCUGGCACUGCAUCGGCUUUAGCCCAGCACAGACUCUUGGCUUUGGGGUCGAAGAACCUCGGUCUUUCCUCUUUGUCACGAGAACGAUGUGGCGACGACGAACUCAUCUCUCUCUCUCUAUGCGCGAUUCGUCAAGGUAGGAGAGAGAAUUGAAUAGAACUCUCCAGACAUGGGUUUUUGGUCUUUUAAACUGUAUUGGUAUUGGAGGCUGGAGGUUUUGUCAGGCUUACGUGUGCCAAUUGCCCCUUUUUAUGCAUUCAGCAUUCACUCGUCUCUCUAGUUAAACAUAUUUUUGAUUUAUCGUGUUGAGUUAAACAAUGAAUUUAACUAUAAGCAAAUAUAUUAUAAGCCCUGGGAGAUUAAAAAAAAAAGCCCCAGGGAAAUAGAAAAACAGCCUUCGGGCGAACUGACAUUAUCCUCUCGAAGAAAUCAAGAGAUUGAUUCGUUAUCAAAGCAAAGCGAGACGCUCUCAAUAGCAUCACAAUUUCCUUUUCACGUUGUCCACUGGCAAUCCCGAAAGACAGAUCCGAGAGGCUAGCUUCUCCCAUCCAAUUCUUACUAGAACUGCCAUUUCCUGAAACCACCUCCACCUCCUCCAAAUAAUCCUAGGGCGGCACACUCUGCAACGGCGCAUAGCCAUUGCCCUUACAUUCUUCUGAAGACCCCUCGAAACAUAACCCCCACCAUGGAACUAAGCCAUUGUGGCACCGGGUAUGGCCCCCGUCAAUGGAAGUAGAAGUCCGAUCCCCUAACUAUACGUAUACUAUAUAUUUAGUCAAAGUAAUUACCCACAUGUAAGCGUAACAUGAAUAAAUGCAUCUUCACCCACCUGAAGACUUAGACGACAGGUCAAUGUUUCGGAAAACAAUUAGACUGCAAGAUUUUUAGUUAAAUGCAUGCUGGGUCCUUAGCAGAAGCAAAAAAUAAAAUGACAGACAAUACAAUUUUUCAGAAACAGGAGACUACAAGAUUUUUAGUUAAGUGCAUGCUGGGCCUUUCGCAGAAGCAAAAUGUUACAUGUAGUAGGCCAUCAUUUAUCUUCCCAGAGUGGGAUGGGCAUCACAUCAGUCAACAGAACCUUUGUCUAACCAUUAGCAGUUCUUUAAAACAUUGAUUCCACCAUACUGACUGCACAUAUGGCAAGACUGCAAAAUUCUCUGUUUCUCGAGAGUUUUAACUCAUUGUUUAUAUGGGUUCUCAUUUGCAUCAGCUGUUUAGAUCCAUGUUCCAGAACACACCAACACCAGAGUGGAACCAACAGUUUUCACAAUAAAACAUCCAAAGUAUUGAAUUAAGACUAGAUAGUAAGGAAGUUUUUGAAGAAAUAAAAGACCCACGGAACAUCAAGACACCCAACAUAAAGAAACCAGUACUGUUGUUUUUGCUUCCGAAUCCACUUAAAACCAUCCC